rnacentral:rRNA from 1 species
GCAGUCGAACGGCAGCGCGGGAGCAAUCCUGGCGGCGAGUGGCGAACGGGUGAGUAAUGUAUCGGAACGUAUCCUGUAAUGGGGGAUAACCAGUCGAAAGAUUGGGUAAUACCGCAUACGCACGAGAGUGGAAAGUAGGGGAUCGCAAGACCUUACGUUAUAGGAGCGGCCGAUAUCUGAUUAGCUAGUUGGUGGGGUAAAGGCCUACCAAGGCGACGAUCAGUAGCUGGUCUGAGAGGACGACCAGCCACACUGGGACUGAGACACGGCCCAGACUCCUACGGGAGGCAGCAGUGGGGAAUUUUGGACAAUGGGCGAAAGCCUGAUCCAGCCAUGCCGCGUGCAGGAAGAAGGCCUUCGGGUUGUAAACUGCUUUAGUCUAGGAAAAAGGGAUGCCCGGUUAAUACCUGGGUGUUUUGAUGGUACUGGAAGAAUAAGCACCGGCUAACUACGUGCCAGCAGCCGCGGUAAUACGUAGGGUGCAAGCGUUAAUCGGAAUUACUGGGCGUAAAGCGUGCGCAGGCGGUCCUGUAAGACAGUCGUGAAAUCCCUGGGCUUAACCUAGGAACUGCGAUUGUGACUGCAAGGCUAGAGUAUGUCAGAGGGGGGUGGAAUUCCACGUGUAGCAGUGAGAUGCGUAGAGAUGUGGAGGAACACCGAUGGCGAAGGCAGCCCCCUGGGAUAACACUGACGCUCAUGCACGAAAGCGUGGGGAGCAACAGGAUUAGAUACCCUGGUAGUCCACGCCC